CCGCACGCCGAUCCUAUUCUCCGCCGCCCGCCUUCCUCUGCUCCUCCUCUGCCGCCGCCGAUCUCAUCUGAGCCAGUACAAAUAUUGCCACUCAUCAACAUCUGCAGCAUCUAAGUGAAGUGAUUAUGUGGAUCUUGUGAGGAAAACAGAUAGGCCAAGAAGCCUGGGAGGUUGUCUACAGUCACUGGCCUGGUAUGUGACCUGCUUGCAUCUUCUAAAUUAUCUUCUAAAUUAGUAUGAAUUUUUUCUGCUCAAAAACAGUUUUCUAUGAUAUUUGUAAUUUCCACGUUUCGAUUGAGCUUCUUACGAUCUAUCAGUAAGGCCUCUCAGGUUUUAGAUUUGUGAUUAGAUCGUUGCAUAUAAGCCAAAAUGAGUCUAUGAUAAGGGAAAUAAACUGGCUACGCUUACCGUAUGGAUGAAACUGAAGAGUGAAGUGAUAUUUCUUUCUACCAUUGCAUAGCUUUACCAUCACCGAUCCAUGUUAAGUGUGAUUUGUUUCUCUGUACAUUAUUCGGAUACAAAGGAUUCGAGCUGAAAAGAAGAUGCAGUGGAGAACAUUAUCACAAGUUAGCAUUUCCUGUGAAACGAAGACCAUUAUAUAGAACAUUGAUUAAUUUGUAAAAAAAUGCUGAUAGCCAAAGGUUAAUGCUGAUAGACCAUUAUAUAUAAACACUUGAAAUAAUUCAGUUAUGGUUUCUAUCAAUAUAUUGUUUCUACUACAUAUAUAUAUUACUUUUAGCUGCGCAAUUUCGUCCGACAGCCAAAGGCUUGUCUAUUAGUAUCUUUUGUAUUUGAUGGGAUCUUGUAACGAGAAAAAACCUUCGGAGCAA